rnacentral:rRNA from 1 species
AGAGUUUGAUCAUGGCUCAGAAUAAACGCUGGCGGCGUGCCUAACACAUGCAAGUCGAACGAGAAAGGGGGUUCGCCCCCGAGUAAAGUGGCGUACGGGUGAGUAACGCGUAGGUAACCUACCCUGGAGUUGGGGAUAACAGUGCGAAAGCGCUGCUAAUACCCGAUACGACCCUUUGGCGGAGGCUGGAGGGUGAAGGUCCGCUGAUCCUUGGAAGCGGAUGAUCCGGGAUGGGCCUGCGUCCUAUCAGCUGGUUGGUAGGGUAACGGCCUACCAAGGCGACGACGGGUAGCUGGUCUGAGAGGAUGAUCAGCCACACUGGCACUGGAACACGGGCCAGACUCCUACGGGAGGCAGCAGUGAGGAAUUUUGCGCAAUGGCCGCAAGGCUGACGCAGCAACGCCGCGUGGGUGAAGAAGGCCUUCGGGUCGUAAAGCCCUGUCAGGUGGGAAGAAAUCCCCGGAGCGAACAGUGUCCGGGGCUUGACGGUACCACCAGAGGAAGCACCGGCUAACUCCGUGCCAGCAGCCGCGGCAAUACGGAGGGUGCGAGCGUUAUUCGGAAUUAUUGGGCGUAAAGCGCGUGCAGGCGGCCGAGCAAGUCUGAUGUGAAAGCCCCGGGCUUAACCUGGGAAGUGCAUUGGAAACUGCUUGGCUUGAGUACUGGAGAGGAAGGGGGAAUUCCCGGUGUAGAGGUGAAAUUCGUAGAGAUCGGGAGGAAUACCAGUGGCGAAGGCGCCCUUCUGGACGGUUACUGACGCUGAGACGCGAAAGCGUGGGGAGCAAACAGGAUUAGAUACCCUGGUAGUCCACGCUGUAAACGAUGAGCACUAGGUGUAGCGGGUACUCAUUCCUGCUGUGCCGCAGCUAACGCGUUAAGUGCUCCGCCUGGGGAUUACGGUCGCAAGACUAAAACUCAAAUGAAUUGACGG